UCACACUAUCAAGCUUGGCUUGUUGUUGGGCCCUUUUGUCACCUGGUGACAGGUCCAAAAGACAAUAACCGGUGUCAUACAGACUCUAUAUGCAACGAGCUUAUCACAGCACGCAUCUGGCAGUCGUGUGGCCCGGUUUUCACUUUGAUAUUUACCAAAGUGUAUUUCUCAA
rnacentral:misc_RNA from 1 species